GCUAGCGUGCAGUGUAGACACACCUCUUAGGGCACCCACUGGAGGAUGAAUAGGCCAGUAGUAUCUAAUGCCUUCUGAAUGAAACAGCUUCACCAGGAACUCCCCCCACCCUAUGUGAGUGCUCUAAAUAACUGAGGCGCUGUAUAAAAUGAGGACCUUGCUGCUAUGUCUUGUGGCAGGGCCUAAUCAGGCAGAAUCAUAGAUGGCAGGAUGGUGUGGAAAGGUGUGCAAAGAGAAAGCAACAUCUUCCAGUUGGCUGUGGCUCAGAAUUUGCUGCCAUGGCCGUGCGUUCUCUAUAAAAAGCCUUUCAGCCAGACUGACUUCAGGCACAGUUGAGAGCAAGAAGCGUUGCAGAGGUUUCAUGGUGGCAGGAGCCGGCCCGAGAGGGCUGCUUUCAUAAUGAGCUAAUCCACGGCAAAAGGAAGAAAACAAACAAGCACAGAGACAAAGAC